GCGAGCACGAGCAUUUCAUAGUAACAACUAUGUUUUCAGUACGAAGAAGAACGUGGAGCCGUGACGUGUUCCCCGAUGUUCCUUCAUUCUUAAGUUUGAUGCAGAACGUCUUCUUCGUUCUUUUUAUAAAAAUAUAACGUUAUAACGGCUUUUUGAAGCUACUGGAGACCGUUACCUCAACACAAGAAGACACUCUGAAGUCCACAUGCCUCCAACGACCGGACGGUAUAUUUUACAUAAAAACAACACCAGGACAUUUUAAUUAACGUCCAUUUACUUAAGUGCGAAAACAAUGUGGUUAAAAGCAGCCAACGGGCUCGUUGGAAGACGUAAGACAACGCUAGCUAACGUUAGCUAGCUAGCUAGCUAGCAGUCCCCGAGGAGAGGACGACGACUUAUUUCGGUAUCAACCAACGGGGGACAUUUCAAGUGUUCUUCAACUCAAGGACGUCGAAAACGAGACUGACCAACUGGGAGAGGAUUUCUGCUCAAAGAGACGGAGAGAGGCCCCUGUUUUGGAUGGUGGGGAUGCAAAGGAUGUUGUGAGCUGGCGACGGUGUGACUGUGUGUGGCUGUCUGCACACAGUCAGCGGGAGGACUCCUCCAGACCAAACCUGCUGGGAUCGACGCGGGCUUUUGUAUGGCAGUGAAGCAUUUUGGAAGGGUGGACAACUUGGGACUCCAAUCACGUUCUCAGAGGCACUACAGAGGCCUGUUAAAAUGCCGACGGCUACGCGGAUCCGGACAGGACGCACACUGAAAUCCCACGCGAGGCUCCGACAGCUAAACAUAAUGAAGAUUCAAGGCGUGCCAGGGAACGCGGUGAUGUGUGUCCAAAUACUCAGACGGAGAAAGGGAACACGCGCACUCCAGAUUGCGUGCAGUGCAUUGAGUUUCUCCCUGAGCCAAGAGCAGAGUGCAAAUUUGGGACCCAGUGCACCAGAGAUCAUAUCCCGUUUCCGUCUGUCGUCUAACUCUCUCCCUCAUGAGCUUGUUGCAUCAUUAGUC